UGAAAUAUCAAAAAAAAAAAAAAAAAAAUCAGGAGUUAAUACUAAUAGAGUUGCUAUGGUGGAAUGGAGAUUUUCUAAUCGGUAAGGGUUUCGAUGCCUACACGACGAUGGGAUCGUGGAAUCGGAGACGAGAUACGGAUUGGAGCAGAAGGUCAGCAAGGAAAAAAUCAGGAGUUAUCGGAAUGGAGAUUUUCUUCAAAUCUCACGCGAUUUGAUUGGGUUUCAGGAAAAGGGAACUUUGGGAUCUUUUGGCCGGUUUGGGUAAUAAAAUGGAGUACGAUUUCGAUUAUCAUCAAAACAAAAUCCCGGGAAUUCACAGGGAUGGUGGAGAUGAUUACCACAGUUGAUUCACAGGUCGCAAUACUCACCAAGGAAGGAAUGAGGUUGCGAUAUUGUAGUUAUGGCCAGUACAAGGAGGUCACAAUGGAAAUAUAUGGGGGUCUAUAUAGGACUUAUUGAUUGUGUGGUUGACGCAAAAUAUGGCUGGAGUUUAAAGGGUUGCAUUUACGUUGGCAUUUUCUCAGGUUUCAGGAUUCUUAUAGGAACAAAAGAAUGGAGCUUUUUGGUUUUCUGGAUGCAGGGAAUAACAAUAUUUGCUAGAUAUAAAUUACGGUUGAUAGAAUUCUUUAUGCAAUAUGUAUGGUGGUAUGUGAUUUUGUGGGGGUUUGGGGACUCUCGAAUCAAGUUUGUAACAUGUGUUUUGCAACUAUAUAAUUGUUUUUUUCAUAUGGGUGCUUGUCGCCUAAUCACUUAUGGUGGGAAGAUGAGAUGGAUGAGUUGAUUUUGAUCUGGCCUAA